rnacentral:rRNA from 1 species
UACGUAGGGAGCGAGCGUUGUCCGGAAUCAUUGGGCGUAAAGCGCGUGUAGGCGGUCCGGUAAGUCCGCUGUGAAAGUCGGGGGCUCAACCCUCGGAUGCCGGUGGAUACUGUCGGGCUUGAGUACGGAAGAGGCGAGUGGAAUUCCUGGUGUAGCGGUGAAAUGCGCAGAUAUCAGGAGGAACACCGAUGGCGAAGGCGGCCUGCUGGGCUAUGGCUGACACUGAGGCGCGACAGCGUGGGGAGCAAACAGG